rnacentral:rRNA from 1 species
AUUGAACGCUGGCGGCAGGCCUAACACAUGCAAGUCGAACGGUAGCAGGAAGAAGCUUGCUUCUUUGCUGACGAGUGGCGGACGGGUGAGUAAUGUCUGGGAAACUGCCUGAUGGAGGGGGAUAACUACUGGAAACGGUAGCUAAUACCGCAUAACGUCGCAAGACCAAAGAGGGGGACCUUCGGGCCUCUUGCCAUCGGAUGUGCCCAGAUGGGAUUAGCUAGUAGGUGGGGUAACGGCUCACCUAGGCGACGAUCCCUAGCUGGUCUGAGAGGAUGACCAGCCGCACUGGAACUGAGACACGGUCCAGACUCCUACGGGAGGCAGCAGUGGGGAAUAUUGCACAAUGGGCGCAAGCCUGAUGCAGCCAUGCCGCGUGUAUGAAGAAGGCCUUCGGGUUGUAAAGUACUUUCAGCGGGGAGGAAGGGAGUAAAGUUAAUACCUUUGCUCAUUGACGUUACCCGCAGAAGAAGCAUCGGCUAACUCCGUG